UACGAAGGGUGCAAACGUUGCUCGGAAUUAUUGGGCGUAAAGCGCACGUAGGCGGCUUGGCAAGUCGGAUGUGAAAUCCCUCGGCUCAACCAAGGAAGUGCAUCCGAAACUGCUGAGCUUGAGUACUUAAGAGGAUCGCGGAAUUCCCGGUGUAGAGGUGAAAUUCGUAGAUAUCUGGAGGAACACCGGUGGCGAAGGCGGCAUCCUGGACCAAUAUUGACGCUGAGGAGCGAAAGCCAGGGGAGCAAACGGG
rnacentral:rRNA from 1 species